UAUCUCUGUAGAGUCUGCAUAUCAAUAAGCGGAGGAAAAGAAACUAACUAGGAUUCCCUCAGUAACGGCGAGUGAAGCGGGAAGAGCUCAAAUUUGAAAUCUUCAAGGUUUUACCUUGACGAAUUGUAGUUUAAAGAAGUGUUUUCUGUUGGAAUUUUGGUAAAAGUUCUUUGGAAAAAGACAUCAAAGAGGGUGAGAAUCCCGUAUUUGACCAUUAUUUCCAGCUUUGUGAUACACUUUCAAAGAGUCGGAUUGUUUGGGAAUGCAGUCCAAAAUGGGUGGUAAAUUUCAUCUAAAGCUAAAUACUUGGCGAGAGACCGAUAGCGAACAAGUACCGUGAGGGAAAGAUGAAAAGAACUUUGAAAAGAGAGUUAAACAGUACGUGAAAUUGUCAAAAGGGAAGCGUUUGACACCAGUGUUGUUUUCUCGAAAAUCAAUUAAAAAUGCUGGAUUUUGUGUUGUAUUGACUUUAUCAGCUUUCUGCACUCUUUUUCCUGUCUUUUUUAAUGCACUUUUCGUUUAACAAGUCAACAUCAAUUUCUUUUGUUGUAAAAGGGUCAUUGGAAGGUGGCUUUCUUUUCGGAGAAAGUGUUUAUAGCCUUUGGCCUCUGCAAUCGGAGAGAUUGAGGUCUGCAGCGUAGAUCCUUCGGGGUUAGAUACAUUUGUGCUAAGUUAUAGCCUUUCAUAGACAACUUGUUGACUAUGAUCAGUCAUGUAGCUUACAUCGCUUAUGCUAUUUUACCUACGCUUAGGAUGUUGAUCUCUCACAGUCGAGC
rnacentral:rRNA from 1 species